GUGCCAGCAGCCGCGGUAAUACAGAGGUCCCAAGCGUUGUUCGGAUUUACUGGGCGUAAAGGGUGCGUAGGCGGUCGGGUCAGUCUGAUGUGAAAUCUCCGAGCUCAACUCGGAAAGCGCAUCGGAUACUGCUCGGCUAGAGGAUUGGAGGGGGGACUGGAAUUCUCGGUGUAGCAGUGAAAUGCGUAGAUAUCGAGAGGAACACCAGUGGCGAAGGCGAGUCCCUGGACAAUUCCUGACGCUGAGGCACGAAAGCUAGGGGAGCAAACAGGAUUAGAAACCCUCGUAGUCC
rnacentral:rRNA from 1 species